rnacentral:rRNA from 1 species
UACGGAGGAUGCGAGCGUUAUCCGGAUUUAUUGGGUUUAAAGGGUGCGUAGGCGGCGAUGCAAGUCUGAAGUGAAAGGCGGGGGCCCAACCCCCGGACUGCUUUGGAAACUGUAUGGCUGGAGUGCAGGAGAGGUAAGUGGAAUUCCUAGUGUAGCGGUGAAAUGCGUAGAUAUUAGGAGGAACACCAGUGGCGAAGGCGGCUUACUGGACUGUAACUGACGUUGAGGCUCGAAAGCGUGGGGAGCAAACAGG